CCAAGAAGCACACCAUGGGGCACCAGAAAACUGGGAUCAGGGUAUUGUUGGCAUUCCAUCUCAAGUGCCUUUGUACAUAAUUUGAGGAACAUAUGCAAUGUAUCUCUCUGCAUGUGAUAUGAAAAACGUCCAAGUCUGUAAGUAACAUGGUUUAAUUGUUUCUAUAUAUGGAUUACGUUUCUUCCCUUUUUUAUAUGGACACUAAUGCACUUACCAAGAAUGGUCACUGACACCUGGUGGUGUGAAGAGAUAUUGCACAGAACAGAAUGAAAAGGUCUUUUAACCCAUGAAUUAUAUAUGGACUGAUGACAUCAGUUUGGCACCAUAAUUCAGAUGUGUGUGGGGGGGGGGGGUAUUUAAGUUGUAACACAAACACUGCACCAUAUCCUUGAGAAAGGUAUAUAUAUAUAUGUGUUGGUGUCAACAUUUGUCUUUUUUUUCUGUAAAGACAAAUUAAAAUAUUUUUUCAAAAUGGAAGUUAAUUAAUAUUGAGUGAAAAUGGACAAGUAUGUUUUUGAUAUACAAAAUAUAACUACAUAGUUAAUUUUAGAUAAUAGUCUGUCUAGUUCAACCCCUCCAAAUGCCCAAUUCCCUCUACAUGAUUAUUAUUAUUAUUAUUAUUAUUACACUAAUAAUACUAAUUUGACUGCUAAUAAUAAUAAUGCAUUACCAUUGUGAUUAUAGUGAUACUUCUAGAAUAGAGGAACCUUUAGAAUAAUCACAGAAAAUAUCCAGUAUGACAUUAUUGGAGUCAGAGUAUAUCAAGAUUUAUUUAAGGAAAGGUAUUACACUGUUGACUCACUCAAGUAUACUGAUAAGGCACACAGUCAUGUAGAAGACAUCAAGAGUUGACAGAAAUGCAGCAAUAUCACCAAUAGCUGAAUGUAAUGGGCUAUUGAGAAUUAUGUUUCAGGCACAUAGGGUGGGUUAGUAAGAACACAAAAUGUGUUAAAUUUUUUUGAGCUCUAGCAUAAAAAUGUCCUAUUUAUUCCAUUCAAUCCAUGUUGAUUUAAUCUUACACAUUUCCUUUGUUUAACCAUUCAGAUUACAUAACUUUACAGGGAUCCUGCAAGCCAAGUGGCAUACAGAACCCAUUAAGUGGGCCUUUACCUAGUAAUUGUGGCAUGCAAUAAUAUUUCCCUCAUGUGAGACAGGUAAACAUCCUUAUUCAUUAGGUUGUCAUCUUCAAGCAAGGGCAGGCAGCAGAAUAAAUAUGCAACACAAUCCUCCAAUGAGAAUCCCAGCUGAUCUGUUCAAAUCAGGACCCAUGUUCUUUGUUCCUGCAUGCGGAGUUGGAAG